CCUCACUUGAUAGUAUAUGAUGAUCUAUUAUAUAUUCAAUGCGUGUUUAUGCUAGUAUUCGAGCUAUUUUAAUAUAUAUUAUGAGCCUUCAUGAUAUUGUAGUGAUAUGUCUAUAUUUUUCACUUCAUCCAUUAUUUUGAUAUGGAUUUAUAGUAAUUCUUACUGAGCUAAAGAAGCUCAUCUUCUUUUGUUAUCUUUUUUUAGAACCACAGGAUGCUUAGUUCGGA
rnacentral:lncRNA from 1 species